GCCUUAGCAGUGUUGUGAAAGGCGGUCGCCUCAUAGCCAAUGGCAAGAGGUGAGGUGACCCUUCAUCGCCUAUUAGCUUUGUGGCGAGGCGAUCUUCCAAAGAUUAGUUCUGUACAAGUACAAUUUAAUAGUUGAAAAAACAGAAAGCAACCUAAUUUAUGUUCACAAUAUUUUGGUUUUGAUCCAGCUAAACUUUCAUGGAAAUGUUUGAACAAGCACAAGCUUUUGUACGCAUAAAGGACUACUACUACUACUGAAACUGCAUUCUAUGAUGCAUCUGAAUUAUGUAAAACAAACGAUCAUGUAAAUUUGCUCGACCGAUGUAACUGUUACUGCUCAAUAGAGACUGCUUCUUUCCUUGCAUGAUUGAUGCUUGUGUAUGUUCACAUCCCCGUGGAUACUUUAAAUGCUGCAUAUCUAUCUCUAAUGAUUAACUCUGAAUCUUUUCAACAGAUCACCUCAGCUCAAACAUCUUCGACUCGUAUGUUCCUACAAUGUCUCAGCCGAGGGAUUGAGUGCAGCUGUGAAGAAGUUCCCAUUAUUGGAGGAGCUGCACCUCUAUUACAUCGCUAUCACCAAAGAAGCGAUUGAAACUAUAGGCAGUUCUUGUCGUGGUUUGAAGUCUUUUAAGUUGAACAACCAGAUCUGCAGACACCCCUACAUUGAAUACGAUGAAGAAGCCAUAGCUAUUGCACAGAACAUGCCUGAACUGCACCACCUUCAACUCCUUGGAAACAAGAUGACGAAUGAAGGAUUGGAAGCUAUUCUCAAUGGCUGCCCUCAACUUGAAUCGCUUGAUCUGCGGCGAUGUCUCAAUGUCGAUCUGGGAGGGGAAGUAGGUAAGCGAUGUUCUCGACAGAUCAAAUCUCUAAGACACCCUCAGGACCCCACCGAAGAUUAUGGGCUUGAUACAGAGAUGCACGACUUUGAGUCGUUUGAUGAGGAUUACCCAUCUGGAUUUUCUGACAUUGACCUCAUAUCAGACGACGAUGAUGAUUAUGAGUUUUCUGAUGGCAGCAACUAUUCUGAUGAUGAUGAGAUGGUGUUCGAAUAUUGAUGUCCUCCUCUAUUCUGUUGAUGUCAUUAGUCUCAGUUUUACUGUCAUUUGUACACCUUAUGUUGUUUUGGAUCCUUUAAUUUUCCAAAUGUUAAGCCCUAAGAAUAUAAAGAUAUCUGUUUCAGCACUUGCUAAGUAACUGUAGUGGGUUAAGUGCCUAGCACAUGUGUAGAUUUGUGGUUGUUAAAUUAAACAAUCCUUGUGUCAUUGUGCAACUACUCACUUUUAUGAAGGACACAUUCGAAUCAUUUGGUGCUUGAAUCUUUUUUUCUGUCUCUGGAAUUUUUUGUAAUAGGGAUUAUACAGACAGCUUAACCUGGCCUUAAUUGGCAACUAAACACUUCAAUUUUGAGAAUGCAUAUCGAAUAGAAUUGUCUAGAUAUGCACACUCAAAGUCGUAAUAGCAUAACAAGCUGUCCCAAUUCAAGAUAUUUUGCUCUGUCUGCUGAGAUUGUUGUAUUAUAGAAGGAAAAAGACUUGGCAUAUAUAGCCUCGCGAUAUCUAAGUUGCUAUAUGUUUAGUCGCUAACCCGGUAGUUUGGGCUUGGAGACUUCUAUGUUGGAGGUCUCAAGUUUGAAACCCCUUGCCAGCGAAAGUAACAUGUUUGCCUUUUGGGUCAAGCUCGUCGAACCGGAUUUGCCUAGUGCGGGUUACCUCGAGCUAUUGCAUUAUGGCUGUGGGUUUCGUAAGCAAAUAUCUUGAGAAUAAUUGAAAUGGCAAUAUCUGUUCGUUUUUACUAUACCUUGGUACUAAAAAUGUAUUUUUUUUACUUUUACCUGUUUAUUUUAUCAAAAUUAAGAAUCAUUUAAUAUUUUCUUUUGAUGUUGCCAUUAAUAUUAAGUACCCUCACUCCAAAUUAUUGGAGUUACAACUUUAAUAACCAUUAACAAAGGUAAUUUACUUAAAAAUAGACUCUUAAUAAAAAUUAUCUUUAAGGAGCGUGUUUUUGCUAAUUAUGGAGGAUGACGAGACAAUUAAAACUUUGGGCCAUAAUAUUUUUAUUCAUCGUCAAAUAUAACUCCAAUUUUCACUUUAAAAAUAAAAACUUUUUCUUUUCAAAUUUCACAAUAAAAUAUGGUCAACUGCCGACUUAAGAUUCCAUCAUCACAAUAAUAACAUCGAAUUCCCAAUAAAAUACUAACAAAGGUUGUGGUGGAAUGGUAAAUAUUACUCUUUCAUCCUUAAUCAAACGUCUCAAAUUCGAGUCCUCUUGAGUUUGAAGUCACUUUUGUUAUGGGGCGCUUUACCCCUUACUGUGAGACUUCUCGGUGUGAAUCCAAAUUUAGUACCGGACAACGGGAAAAAAAUCCCAAUAAAAUUUUGGAGACAAAUCAUAAAAUCUUAUCCAUUUUGAGUUAGCCAAUAUAUGAGUGCCACCUCAUCAAACUAGUAAUCUAAGUGUAUCCAUAAUAGCCUCAUUCUAUGGCCACAAACUCUUCAUGUGGCCAAUGCCCACAUAAACUUCUUUCCUCACAAAUAGAUUUAUAACAAUUUAAACAUAGAAAAGCAAAGAAAUAUUCCAAAACAAAGAGAGAAAAAUAAAACACAUUUCCAUUGUUUGAUAAUCUUGAGUUUUUGCAACAAUGGCUUCCACCAUGAUGACUACUCUACCACAAUUCAAUGGGCUCAAACCCCAACCUUUCUCAGCUUCUCCAGUUCAAGGCUUGGUUACGCCGCUCGAACUACUUAAAUAUCAAAUUCUUUGAAGAUAGUGCAUUAUUGGAAGAUUUAAUACAAGUGCAAUUAUAUUUUUAAAAAGUACGAUACGAGCAGUAUAGAUUAAAAAUAUGAGUUUCUAAUUCAACAUUGCUUAUUUUAUUUUUUUCUUACAUCCUAGAUCAAUUCAAAGAUAAAGAUUUUUAUAUGUAAACAAAAUCCCUUUUAAUCAAAAUGACUUCCUUUUACAUGUUGCUAACGAUAACUACAACAAUAAUUUAGAUACCAAAGUGGACUUCAUUUUCUAAUGUUGGAAUCUAAAAUAUAUAAUUAAGAAUGGAAGAAUACUUACAAUUUUUCAUUAUUUAUUACGGUUAAAUUAAGGGUAAAUUCACAUAUUUGGAUGUUCGGCCAAAAAUACUUAUAACCCCUAGGCAAUAUACAAAUAUUAUAUAAGAGUAUUAGUUAUACAUAUAUUAUACAUCUUCUAACUUGGUCGAAAAAUAUUUGUAACUAGUAUCCAAAAUAUACAUAUAUUAUUUACUAACUAUACAUAUCUUAUACAUUUACAUGUAACUUUUUAGAUAGGUAAAAGUCAAUAAUGUAUAUCAACAAUACAAAGUCGGUAAAAAACCUUCUCAAAGAGAAAAAAAAAACGAAUCAAUGGAAAUCACUUUUCAUAAUAAUGCUAUAUUUAUUUUUCAUAGGUAUCUAAAAGAGUAAAAAGUAACCUUUUAAGCCUAGUGUGAAUCCUAACCUAAAUUAAACCUAAACAAAGAAAUGAUGUAUUUACUGAUUAACUAUUAUUAGUGUUUAUAAUUACAAUUUUAUCAACUUAAAUUAAUUAAAUAAAUAACAAUUUUAGAAAAAUGAUAAAAAGACGAUUUUGUCCAAAAAGGAGUUUUUUAAUUAGGGCAAAUUAACUCAAAAUAGAAACCAAACUGUUCAUUCCAAAAUGGAAGCAGAAGAUAUGGAAAAUUCAAUUGCUCCGCCGUGGGUGGAAUUGCCGCCGGAUAUUACAUCGUCGAUCCUUCAAAAGGUUGGGCCGAUUGAGAUGUUGAAGAGCGCCGACAAAGUGUGUUCAACUUGGCGUCGGUUGUGCCAUGAACCAGCUAUGUGGCGAGUUGUGAAAAUGCAGAAUGCCGGCGCCGAUUUCUGGGACAGGGAGGAUGAUUUGGAGAAGAUUUGCGGUCGAGCUGUGGAAUGUAGCAACGGGGAAUUAGUUGAUCUCAGCCUUGAGUAUUUUGGCAGCGACAAGUUGCUCAGCUAUAUCGCUGAAAGGUUCUAUUUUCAACCCUAGUUUCCUGCUUUUCUGCUGUUAAACCCUAAUUUCAUACUUUUGUGUGCUAUCAAAUAUGGAUGGGAGUUUAAAGGUAGUAUCUGUUCAUUUUGCUAAUUAUUAGGUUUUUUUUUUUGGUAUAACGUUUAGCAACACCAAUCUCAGCUUGAAUUCCUGCAUAAGAAAUACAAUGUUUGGUUAGCAAAACAAGAAAAAAAACAAUUGCAAACAUAACUGUUAGACAAAUUAAUGAACUGAAAUGAAAUUGGAAAAGGAAAAGCUAUAUUAUUGAAUUGGGGAAAACAUAGAUAAUCUUCAUGAUACAACAAGCCACUAGGUUGAUACUUGCAGAGUUUGGGGAAAACUUAGAUAAUCUUCAUGAUUCAACAAGCCACUAGUUUGAUACUUGCAGAGUUCUUAGUCACUUCAACCAGGAAGGCCUAAUUUACCAAGGGUUUUAUAUAAAACCUUCAGACUUACUUUGCCUUCCGUUCUGGGACAAUGACACUUCAUAUAUAUUACAAACUAUCUAACACUAACUGCUUGACCUCAAUAAACGCUGCCCUGCUAAUAGCAGUUUAAGUUAUGCGGAAAUCUGUGUUUAAUUAUGAGAGUGCAUGUAUUUGCAGUAGAUGGAUUAUGGAUUAGAGUGAGCAAAGACAAAAGAACCCUUGAAGUAAGGAUGAUCCCAACUUAACAAUCUUUAGUCAAUGACUCAAUGAAAAACGGAAGGAUUUUUUCAAAUCUCCAAGGGGCCUUAGCAGUGUUGUGAAAGGCGAUUGCCUCAUGGCCAAUGGCGAGAGGCAAGGCGAUCCUUCAUCGCCUAUUAGCUUUGUGGCGAGGCAAUCUUCCAAAGAUUGAAUGGUAGAUAUGGGCCAUUAUUAUGGAAUAAGUGUAGAAACACUUUCAGGAAGUUAGUCCGUACCUCUCUGUACAAAUACAAUUCAAUAGUUGAACUAAUAGCAAGCAACCUAAUUUAUGUUCACAAUAUUUUGGUUUUGAUCCAGCUAAACUUUCACGGAUGUGAGUUUAAAGCUAGCUAAUUAUUAGGGUUUUUUGGUGUAACAUUUAGCAACACCAAUCUCAGCUUGAAAUCCUGCAUAAGUAAUACAAUGUUUGGUUAGCCAAACAAGAAAAAAAGUAAUUGCAAACAUAAUCGUUAGAAAAAUUAAUGAACUGAAAUGAGAUUGGAAAAGUAAAAGGAUGUAUAGGAGCAUAGGAGCGGGGGUUUUACCCUGUGCGCACCCAAAGGGUAGCGGUUGCGGGUUUCACUUGUCAUCAAAGAAAAAAAAAAAGGCUGUAUUAUUGAAUUGGGGAAAAACAUCGAUAAUCUUCAUGAUACAACAAGCCACUAGUUUGAUACUUGCAGAGUUUGGGGAAAACUUAGAUAAUCUUCAUGAUUCAACAAGCCACUAGUUUGAUACUUGCAGAGUUCUUAGUCACUUCAACCAGGAAGGCCUAAUUUACCAAGGGUUUUAUAUAAAACCUUCAGACUUACUUUGCCUUCCGUUCUGGGACAAUGACACUUCAUAUAUAUUUCAAACUAUCUAACACUAACUGCUUGACCUCAAUAAACGCUGCCCUGCUAAUAUCAGGUUAAGUUAUGCGGAAAUCUGUGUUUAAUUAUGAGAGUGCAUGUAUUUGCAGUAGAUGGAUUAUGGAUUAGAGUGAGCAAAGACAAAAGAACCCUUGAAGUAAGAAUGGUAGAUGUGGGCCAUUAUUAUGGAAUAAGUGUAGAAAUACUUUCAGGAAGUUAGUCCGUACCUCUCUGUACAAGUACAAUUUAAUAGUUGAAAAAACAGAAAGCAACCUAAUUUAUGUUCACAAUAUUUUGGUUUUGAUCCAGCUAAACUUUCAUGGAAAUGUUUGAACAAGCACAAGCUUUUGUACGCAUAAAGGACUACUACUACUACCUAAACUGCAUUCUAUGAUGCAUCUGAAUUAUGUAAAACAAGCGAUCAUGUAAAUUUGUUCGACUGAUGUAACUGUUACUGCUCAAUAGAGACUGCUUCUUUCCUUGCAUGAUUGAUGCUUGUGUAUGUUCACAUCCCCGUGGAUACUUUAAAUGCUGCAUAUCUAUCUCUAAUGAUUAACUCUGAAUCUUUUCAACAGAUCACCUCAGCUCAAACAUCUUCGACUCGUAUGUUCCUACAAUGUCUCAGCCGAGGGAUUGAGUGCAGCUGUGAAGAAGUUCCCAUUAUUGGAGGAGCUGCACCUCUUUUACAUCGCUAUCACCAAAGAAGCGAUUGAGACUAUAGGCAGUUCUUGUCGGGGUUUGAAGUCUUUUAAGUUGAACAACCAGAUCUGCAGACACCCCUACAGUGAACGCGAUGAAGAAGCCAAAGCUAUUGCACAGAACAUGCCUGAACUGCACCACCUUCAACUCCUUGGAAACAAGAUGACGAAUGGUGGAUUGGAAGCUAUUCUCAAUGGCUGCCCUCAACUUGAAUCGCUUGAUCUGCGGCGAUGUCUCACUGUCAAUCUGUUAGGGGAAGUAGGUAAGCGAUAUUUUCGACAGUUCAAAUCUCUAAGACCCCCACAGGACCCCGCCGAAGAUUAUGGGCCUGAUACAGAGAUGCACGACUAUGGGUCGUUUGAUGAGGAUUACCCAUCUGAAUUUUCUGACAUUGACCUCAUAUCAGACGACGAUGAUGAUUAUGAGCUUUCUGAUGGCAGCAACUAUUCUGAUGAUGAUGAGAUGCUGUUCGAAUAGUGAUGUCCCCCUCUAUUCUGUUGAUGUCAUUAGUCUCAGUUUUACUGUCAUUUGUACACCUUAUGUUGUUCUGGAUCCUUUAAUUUUCCAAUUGUUAAGCCCUAAGAAUAUAAAGAUAUCUGUUUCAGCACUUGCUAAGUAACUGUAGUGGGUUAAGUGCCUAGCACAUGUGUAGAUUUGUGGUUGUUAAAUUAAACAAUCCUUGUGUCAUUGUGCAACUACUCACUUUUAUGAAGGACAUUCGAAUCAUUUGGGGCUUGAAUCUUUUUUUCUGUCUCUCUGGAAUUUUUUGUAAUAGGGAUAAUACAGACAGCAUAACUUCGCCUUAAUUGGCAACUAAACACUUCAAUUUUGAGAAUGCAUAUAGAGUAGA
rnacentral:lncRNA from 1 species